CCUUGUUACGACUUCACCCCAAUCAUCGGCCCUACCGUAGGCGGCUGCCUCCAUUGCUGGUUAGCUCACCGGUGUCGGGUAAAACCAACUUUCGUGGUGUGACGGGCGGUGUGUACAAGGCCCGGGAACGCAUUCACCCGAGCAUGCUGAUCUCGAAUUACUAGCGAUUCCAACUUCAUGCAGUCGAGUUGCAGACUGCAAUCCGGACUGGGACGCACUUUUUGGGAUUGGCUCCACCUCGCGGUAUCGCUGCCCUUUGUAUGCGCCAUUGUAGUACGUGUGUAGCCCUAGGCGUAAGGGCCAUGAUGACUUGACGUCGUCCCCACCUU
rnacentral:rRNA from 1 species